AGCAACUUACUGGAAGCACGCUGGAUGACAGACUCGGCUCCCUGCCCUUCACCUAGCUGGGAGAAGGGCACCUACAUCCGAGGCCUGAAUCAUGGCUAUUCAGAUUCGCCACAAGCCUGGCCAGGGUCUUCAUCAAAAAGGAAGGAGGAACGCAUGUACUGCAUCAAGAGAGGAAAACCCAUAUUAAAGAAAUAAAUGAAGCAGAACGAUGCAUCCCAGGCUUGCUCUGUGGAGGAGAGAGGUGUGGUCGUUUGAUUGUGACGUCUUGCAGCAGCAAAAGAAA
rnacentral:lncRNA from 1 species